rnacentral:rRNA from 1 species
UAAUUCGAUGCACGCGAAGAACCUUACCUGGUCUUGACAUCCAUAGAAUCUUUCAGAGAUGAGAGAGUGCCUUCGGGAGCUAUGAGACAGGUGCUGCAUGGCUGUCGUCAGCUCGUGUUGUGAAAUGUUGGGUUAAGUCCCGCAACGAGCGCAACCCCUAUCCUUUGUUGCCAGCACGUAAUGGUGGGAACUCAAAGGAGACUGCCGUUGAUAAAGCGGAGGAAGGUGGGGACGACGUCAAGUCAUCAUGGCCCUUACGACCAGGGCUACACACGUGCUACAAUGGCGUAUACAAAGGGAUGCGAAGGUGCGAACUGGAGCGGACCUCACAAAGUACGUCUAAGUCCGGAUUGGAGUCUGCGACUCGACUCCAUGAAGUCGGAAUCGCUAGUAAUCGUGAAUCAGAAUGUCACGGUGAAUACGUUCCCGGGCCUUGUACACACCGCCCGUCACACCAUGGGAGUGGGUUGCACCAGAAGUAGAUAGCUUAACCUUCGGGAGGGCGUUUACCACGGUGUGGUUCAUGACUGGGGUGAAGUCGUAACAAGGUAACCA